rnacentral:rRNA from 1 species
UACGGGGGGGGCAAGCGUUGUCCGGAAUUAUUGGGCGUAAAGAGCUCGUAGGCGGUUUGUCGCGUCUGUCGUGAAAGCCCACGGCUUAACCGUGGGUCUGCGGUGGAUACGGGCAGACUAGAGGCAGGUAGGGGAGAAUGGAAUUCCCGGUGUAGCGGUGAAAUGCGCAGAUAUCGGGAGGAACACCGGUGGCGAAGGCGGUUCUCUGGGCCUGUACUGACGCUGAGGAGCGAAAGCGUGGGGAGCGAACAGG